AAACCAGCACCUCAAGUGGUCAGGAUGAUUAUUGGGCCUAAAGCAUCCGUAGCCUGCUCUGUAAGUUUUCGGUUAAAUCUGUAUGCUCAACAUACAGGCUGCCGGGAAUACUGCAGAGCUAGGGAGUGGGAGAGGUAGACGGUACUCGGGAGGAAGUGGUAAAAUGCUUUGAUCUCUCGAUGACCACCUGCGGCGAAGGCGGUCUACCAGAACACGUCCGACGGUGAGGGAUGAAAGCUGGGGGAGCAAACCGGAUUAGAAACCCGUGUAGUCC
rnacentral:rRNA from 1 species